CAGCUAACCGCCUUUAAGCCCCCCCGCCCGGGGGAGUUCCGCCCCGCAAGGGUUUAAACCUCAAAUUGAAUUGACCGGGGGCCCCGCACAAGCGGUGGAAGCAUGUGGUUUAAUUCUGAAGCAACGCGAAGAACCUUACCCCACUCCUGACAUCCCCGAGACCUUUCCCAUAGAUUCAUUUAGUCCCUUCGGGAACUCCGAGACAGGUGCUGCAUGGCUGUCGUCAGCUCGUGUUGUGAAAUGUUGGGUUAAGUCCCGUAACGAGCGCAACCCUUAUCCUUUGUUGCCAGCGGUUAGGCCGGGAACUCAAAGGAGACUGCCGGUGAUAAACCGGAGGAAGGUGGGGAUGACGUCAAGUCAUCAUGGCCCUUACGAGUAGGGCUACACACGUGCUACAAUGGUGGGUACAAAGGGAAGCGACCUCGGGAGGGCAAGCAAACCUCAUAAACCGAUUCGUAGUCCGGAUUGGAGUCUGCAACUCGCCUCCAUGAAGUGGGAAUCGCUAGUAAUCGGAGAUCAGAAUGCCACGGUGAAUACGUUCCCGGGCCUUGUACACACCGCCCGUCCCCCAGGGGAGUGGGUGCAAAAAAAGUAGUUAGGUUAACUUUAGGGGAGGC
rnacentral:rRNA from 1 species